GAGGAGGAGCCCGGAGAUGGGCACUGAGACAAGGGCCCAGGCCCUAUGGGGCGCAGCAGGCGCGAAACCUCUGCAAUAGGCGAAAGCUUGACAGGGGUACUCUGAGCGAUUUCCGUUAAGGAGAUCUUUUGGCACCUCUAAAAAUGGUGCAGAAUAAGGGGUGGGCAAGUCUGGUGUCAGCCGCCGCGGUAAUACCAGCACCCCGAGUGGUCGGGACGUUUAUUGGGCCUAAAGCAUCCGUAGCCGGUUCUACAAGUCUUCUGUUAAAUCCACCUGCUUAACAGAUGGGCUGCGGAAGAUACUAUAGAGCUAGGAGGCGGGAGAGGCAAGCGGUACUCGAUGGGUAGGGGUAAAAUCCGUUGAUCCAUUGAAGACCACCAGUGGCGAAGGCGGCUUGCCAGAACGCGCUCGACGGUGAGGGAUGAAAGCUGGGGGAGCAAACCGGAUUAGAUACCCGGGUAGUCCCAGCUGUAAACGAUGCAGACUCGGUGAUGAGUUGGCUUAUUGCUAACUCAGUGCCGCAGGGAAGCCGUUAAGUUUGCCGCCUGGGGAGUACGGUCGCAAGACUGAAACUUAA
rnacentral:rRNA from 1 species